AUUGAACGCUGGCGGCAGGCCUAACACAUGCAAGUCGAACGAGUGGCGGACGGGUGAGUAAUGUUUGGGAAUCUACCUUGUGGAGGGGGAUCACUAAGGGAAACUGUAGCUAAUACCGCAUCCCAUAGGAUGCACCCCUGUGGGAUUAGCUAGUUGGUGGGGUAAAGGCUCACCAAGCCGCCUAGCUCUAGCUGGUCUGAGAGGAUGACCAGCCACACUGGGAGUGAGACACGGCCCAGACUCCUACGGGAGGCAGCAGUGGGGAAUAUUGCGCAAUGGGGGCAACCUGAUGCAGCCAGGCCGCGUGAAUGAAGAAGGCCUUCGGGUUGUAAAGUUCGUUCGGUAGCGAGGCGUUAACUACAGAAGAAGAACCGGCUAACUCCGUGCCAGCAGCCGCGGUAAUAC
rnacentral:rRNA from 1 species